rnacentral:lncRNA from 1 species
CAAAGACUUGUACAAACAGGCCAAAUACACACUAAAUAGGGAGAUAAGAGUGGCAAAGUUAAACUACUCUGAAAAGCUAAAAAAACAGCUUUCAAGUAAUGACUCUACAUCAGUGUGGAAAGGCCUGAAAGCCAUCACCCGCUACAAGACCCCAUCCCCCAGCACUGAGGCCAAUCAACAACUGGCUGAAGACCUGAACGAGUUCUACUGCAGGUUUGAAAAGCAAAAGCCUGGUCUGACACCCCACACCCACUCCGACCGUCUCACAGCACAGCCAUCAACACCCUCCCCCUCCAUCCCCCCUACUGUUUCUCAUCCUGCACUCAAGAUCUGUGAAGAGGAUGUAUGCAAAGUCUUCAGAAAGCAGAAGAUAAGGAAAGCCAAAGGCCCAGACGGUGUCUCUCCAGCCUGCCUCAAAGCCUGUGCUGUCCAGCUAUCAUCCAUCUUCACAUUGAUCUUCAACAGAUCCCUGGAGCUGUGUGUAGUCCCCUCCUGCUUCAAACGUUCCACCAUCAUCCCUGUACCCAAGAAACCAAAAAUCACAGGACUUAAUGACUACAGACCUGUUGCUUUAACAUCUGUGGUCAUGAAGGCAUUUGAGAGACUGGUGUUGGCCUACUUGAAGGACAUUACUGGAUCCUUGCUGGACCCCCUGCAGUUUGCUUACCGAGCAAACAGGUCUGUGGAUGAUGCAGUCAAUAUGGGAUUGCACUACAUCCUCCAACAUCUGGACAAACCAGGGACUUAUGCAAGGAUCUUGUUUGUGGACUUCAGCUCCGCUUUCAACACCAUCAUCCCGGACACCCUUCAGAAUAAACUGACCCAGCUCUCUGUGCCCACCUUCAUCUGUCAAUGGAUCACCAGCUUUCUGACAGACAGGCAGCAGCUAGUGAGGCUGGGAAAACUCACAUCCAACACAGGCCAAAGAGGACGCCUACAGGAGUGGGGACAAAGACUUGUACAAACAGGCCAAAUACACACUGAAUAGGGAGAUAAGAGUGGCAAAGUUAAACUACUCUGAAAAGCUAAAAAAACAGCUUUCAAGUAAUGACUCUACAUCAGUGUGGAAAGGCCUGAAAGCCAUCACCCGCUACAAGACCCCAUCCCCCAGCACUGAGGCCAAUCAACAACUGGCUGAAGACCUGAACGAGUUUUACUGCAGGUUUGAAAAGCAAAAGCCUGGUCUGACACCCCACACCCACUCCGACCGUCUCACAGCACAGCCAUCAACACCCUCCCCCUCCAUCCCCCCU